rnacentral:rRNA from 1 species
UACGUAGGUGGCAAGCGUUGUCCGGAUUUACUGGGCGUAAAAGAGCGCGCAGGCGGUCGUUCAAGUCGCGUGUGAAAGCCCCCGGCUCAACUGGGGAGGGUCACGCGAUACUGAUCGACUCGAAGGCAGGAGAGGGUAGUGGAAUUCCUGGUGUAGCGGUGAAAUGCGCAGAUAUCAGGAGGAACACCAAUUGCGAAGGCAGCUCGCUGGGACGUAACUGACGCUGAGACGCGAAAAGCGUGGGGGAGCAAAACAGG